CAUCACACACAUCGCGCACACAUCACAUAUCUCACUCUCUAGCCUCUUCUUCAGUUCUUCUCUUCACAACACAAAAGCAAUUAAGCAAAGCAGCAGUUGGUGGCACACUACAGCGGCAACACACCACCACAGUGGCAGAACUCACAGUUAGAGACCGCGAAAGUCAUAGCUUUUAAUGGAUCUGCUUCUCCCUACUGGAUCUGCUCCUCCAAGCUCCAACCAAAAUUUUUGACGAU
rnacentral:lncRNA from 1 species